ACUUCCUUCUCAAACAGUGGCGUUUUUUCGUUAUGCAACCAGAAGCAACCAUGGCUAAGGCUAUCUUCGUCUUCUGAUCCCUGAAGACGAAGAUAGCCUUA